rnacentral:rRNA from 1 species
GACGAACGCUGGCGGCGUGCUUAACACAUGCAAGUCGAACGGUAAGGCCCUUCGGGGUACACGAGUGGCGAACGGGUGAGUAACACGUGGGUGAUCUGCCCUGCACUUCGGGAUAAGCCUGGGAAACUGGGUCUAAUACCGGAUAGGACCACUGCCUGCAUGGGUGGUGGGGGAAAGCUUUCGCGGUGUGGGAUGGGCCCGCGGCCUAUCAGCUUGUUGGUGGGGUGAUGGCCUACCAAGGCGACGACGGGUAGCCGGCCUGAGAGGGUGACCGGCCACACUGGGACUGAGAUACGGCCCAGACUCCUACGGGAGGCAGCAGUGGGGAAUAUUGCACAAUGGGCGCAAGCCUGAUGCAGCGACGCCGCGUGAGGGAUGACGGCCUUCGGGUUGUAAACCUCUUUCAGCACCGACGAAGCGCAAGUGACGGUAGGUGCAGAAGAAGGACCGGCCAACUACGUGCCAGCAGCCGCAGUAA